UCAUUUUUUUCUCAUUGUUAUUCGAUGGAUGAUUCAAUGGAUGCUAAAAUAAAGCACGAGAGGCAGUACACAGGAGCAAAAAUAAUUGAUUAGGUGCAAAACUCAUUUUGAUCAUCCAUUAUAUUGCGCAAUCUUUCCCAAACCCAUCCCUUUCUUCCUUUGGUGAUGCUAAUUGGUUUCACAAACGAUCAAUCGUCAAUGGGACUGAUCUUUGUUUAUUUCAUGUAACUAAGUAGUGUGAGAUACACUCCAUAUAUAUAUAUAUGUGUGUGUGUGUGUGUGUGUGUGUAUAGCAAUUUAGAGAGGGAUAAACUCUAUAUUCAAGAUCUAGUACCCCUAGCUAAUUCAACGUGUGAGAGAUCCGUCUCUUAAACUUUCAAAGACUCCCCGUCGUUGCCUUCCAAUAAGUACCCAUAUCCAGUAGAUGUUAACGUGAGGUAUUAUGUUGAUUUCAUCCACUCUAAACAAAACUACUUUGUGUAUGCUUCGUCUUAUUGAGAGGCAAGGUUUGGUUGGUUUCAUCAAUAGCGAAGUUUUGGCACCACCGGAAAAGAUCAAAGGGCAAAAAGGAGAUCGAGGACUGGAAAAGACCGGACGCAUUGUUACAAAGAUGGAUAAGAGAGAGGAUUAGUGAAGAUGUUCUUCCGCAUGUGGUGUGCUUGAAAACUGCCCAAGAUAUGUGGUCAAAGUUAAUUACCCUGCAUGAAACAAAAAUAGAGACCCCAUACCCAGCGGAUCUCAACGUGAGGGACUUUGUUCAAAUCAAUCUCUCUAAAUUAGAUAACUAUUUUAGGUAGAAGUCAUUGAUGCUUGGAAUUAUUGAGAAUCGAGGCAUGUUUGGUUUCAUAAGUGGUGAGGUUUCAGCACCACUUGCAACGAUCAGAGUACCAGAUGAUGAUAACGAUAGCUUCUACUUUCGCACGAAGGAGAUGGAGAACAGGAUUGGAAAAGAUUCAGUGAGCUAUUGCAAAUAUGGAUAAAGGAAACCAUCAAUAAAGAUAUGUGGUCACAAUUGGUUAUCCUGGGUGAAAGAAAAAUGGAGUACCCAACAGAUAUCAAUGUCACGGACAUUGUUCCCAUCAAGCUCUCUUGUAGUACCGAUAACUACUCUAGUUGGAAAACGCUGAUGCUUCAUUUUGUUGAGAGUCAUGGCAUGCUUGGUUUCAUCAAUGGUGAGGCUUCAAGGCCAACACUUUCUAACGACAACAACAGCAACGAUGAAUGGAGAAAAUCAGACGAGAAGUUGCAAAGAUGGAUCAAGGAAACAAUCUAUCAAUGUAGAUAUCCGGCGAGACUUGGUACAUACUGCUUGAAACAUCAAAAGAUAUACGGGAAAGGUUAAUUAUACAUCCUGCAUGAAACUAGUAAGGGGUACGUAUUAAUUGAUUUAAUACCCAAUAGAGGUGAACGUGGGUGACUUUGUUCCCUUGAAGCUUUCCGGUAGCAACUAUCCUGAUUGGAAAAGGCUGAUGCUGCAUCCUAUUGAGAAUCAAGGUUUGCUUGGUUUUAUUUUUGCCACGACAUCAUAUCCCAAUAAUAGAUUCCUUAGCGUGGAAAAGAACAAAUGCGGGGUUGUUGCAAAGUUGGAUAAUAAGGAUCCACAAGGGUUGAGUGAAAAAAAUCAUGAUGCAUAGACUUUGUGCAAAAUUAGUUCAUACUUUUUUAAAAUGUGUAUGCAAAUUUACAAAAUUUCAAAAAAGUGCAUAACUGACAAGUUUUUACAAAAAGUAAAAUUGAAAAUCCCAUUUUAUCCUUUUUGUUUCCCAUUUUACCCCUUAUCAUUUGUGCAUAAAAGACCCUCAGGCACUUUUUAACAAAGCCUGACAUUUUUGAUGUGUCUAGGACAAUUGUGUUCAACCAUUGAAUGUGUCCUAACCAAAACUACAGCAUUAUGGUCUAUUCCCUUCGCUGUUUUUCAAAUUGGUAGCUGGUGUGCUGGACACUUGAUCAAUUUGAGUGGUAAAAUUUCAUUAUGUGAAAAAUGUGCAACAUAAACAAUAAGAAGGGUUAAAUAUCGCGACUUAAGACUACCAAGUUCAGCAAGUGGAUUCCUAUUACAUGAGAUCAGAUCAAUGCCUCUGAACACUUUAUUUUAUCUUUUGCCCUUUAAUAAUAGAUUAUUGAAUUAAAGAGAAAGCACUAAAUCAAAAUCAAAGUACUUGACGACCAUUUUCUUUAUCAAGUAAGAAUGAUGCCUCAUGACCUACCCAUCAUUACAGAAAACUGAUGAUCUUUACAUUCACGGAUACAAUUUACUGAACUGUUACCACAAUUUUUGACAAACAUCUGAUUCCCCGGAUUAAUAAUUAUAAAUAAGAUUUCUUUGGUUAGUACAAAAAAAAAAAAAGUGAACAUAGAUACAAAUAAUCUCUAUGUUAUUAAGGGAUUAAAGAUGUGCCCAUAACUCACUUGACAAUGCACAAAAGACUUAGUCCAUAAUUUAACUGCUUAGGAAUAUUGUAGAAAGAUCGUAUAGGAAACUGCAGCCACCACAACAUGUAACUAUUAAAGCUUCUAUCACCAUUAACACAAUCCUUCUAUAGCAUACCCCAAAAUGUGCAAGUAUGCAACCAAAUCCAUUGCCUCCACAACCUUAUCUUUCUCCUUUAGCCCAUCAGCUUAUGAACCAUUACCCUCAUUACUGCCAUCUCCACCACCGCCUAAUGUUAAAAAUACCAAAACAGCCUAGUACCACACAACUACCACCACCAUCACUCGCAACUAGCACUCAUGCAAUCAACUAUUCAUUUAUGUCACAGGUCCGUGUGGAGGGUGAUUUGCUGCAUUUCAACAGUUUAAGAGAGGAAGCUCCGACGACAUCAGCAUUUUGAUGAAUACUGGAGACAACACGACAGGAAGCUCCGACGACGACGACUCCUACGACGCUAACUCUUGCCGUAACUCCACCGUCCUCUUCGACCAAACCCAGUUCAGUCCGGCGAGCAUCUGCCCGCCUCUAGAUGUCUUUUUUCUUACUCCCGGCCCCGGAAAGAGAGAUGACGAGAUGGAGACACCAUCACUGCCGAUGCUUGCGACUCAAGCACAGUCACCAUCACUGCCGAUGCUUGCGACUUAAGCACAGUCACCGUAACCAACACAGUUGCUUGAAAGCUUGUCGGAGUAUGUGUGUUUUCCCGUUGGUUCAGCGAUGUUGCCGAAGUGGGUUGAGUUCUCUUGGGACGUUGCCGAACUGAAAUUGGGUUGCUCUUAAUUCAGUCGUCGCCAACGUCAUGGCUCACUCGCCAGAAUCAGUUUUGAGCUUUGCGGUUUGUCAUACAAGUGGGUCUCGUGAGCUUGUUCCAUAUUGCCGUCUAGGGACAUGAAGCAUACCGGUGUACAGCUCACAGGAGCAGUGACUGAAACACGCCGUGUGUCACUGGCUUUUUGCAUGCAGGUCAUGGGACCAGUACACCGAAGCUCAAUGAUUUAUCAUCUUCAUCAGAGCAUGUGAGUCGUGGAGCUCGUCAUUGGUUAUGGAGUUCACCGGCGUUCAGUUGCUGCUUUGAAGCUCACUAAAUACACAUGCAUGGAAGUGUAGCUCGCUGGAUGAUCACCGAAGUGGGUCUCAUUUGCUUGAACUGUUUGUUGUUUGUUGUAGUUUGGAGCUUUCUGUUUGUUUUCGCCGGCUUUAAUGGUGGUUUCGCCGUCGAUGGAGCAUCUAAAUGAUGGCGACGGUGGUCUGCAUAUAUAUAUAUAUAUAUAUAUCAAGCUUGGCCACGAUUUCAUUCUUGCAUGGGCGUGGAGAGGUUUUAGAGAUGACCGGUAUCUUUCGCCGUCGAUCUUGUUGCUGAUACGUUCACCGCCAUGAGGUCCGAUCUUGUUGCUGCCGAUACAACCUCCUCACAAGAUUCAGAUUUUGGGUUGAAGACUUAGAUACCUCCUUCGACUUCAUCAAUUUUCAUUAUGCUCUCCCAAAUAGAACCUGCAACUACACUUGUUGCACCGUUUUUUUUUUUUUUUUGCAAUUGGAUCUUGGGUCUGCUAAUGGUGUUGUUUACAAAGGGUGAUUGUGGAUGCCGAUAUGGGUUUUGAACU